rnacentral:rRNA from 1 species
AUACCCUAUUAUUUUUAAUGUAAAAUAUAUAUAUAUAAAACCAGAGUAUUAGUAGUUAUGGUCUUAAAACUUAAAGAAUUUGGCGGUAUUAUAGUCUAUUUAGAGGAAUCUGUUAUGUAAUUGAUAAUCCACGUUGAACCUUACUUGUAUUAAUUCUUGUAUACCGCUGUUUAAGAAGAUAUUUUUAGGUAAUUUUCUAAAUAUAUAAUUAAAUAAAAUUUCAAGUCAAGGUGCAGUAAUAUAUAAGUUGAAUAAUGGAUUACAAUAAAAUAUAUUUAUUAUGGAUAAUUGUUGUAAUAUAAUUUGAAGGUGGAUUUAAUUGUAAUUUUGUAAAGAUUAUUAAAAUGAUUUUAAGCUCUAUAAUAUGUACACAUCGCCC